rnacentral:rRNA from 1 species
ACGCAGCAACGCCGCGUGAGCGAUGAAGGCCUUAGGGUUGUAAAGCUCUGUCAGAUGGGAAGAAUUAUGACGGUACCAUUAGAGGAAGCCCCGGCUAACUCCGUGCCAGCAGCCGCGGUAAUACGGAGGGGGCAAGCGUUGUUCGGAAUUAUGGGGCGUAAAGCGUAUGUAGGCGGCCGAGUAAGUCAGACGUGUAAGCCCGUGGCUCAACCGCGGAAUUGCGUUUGAAACUACUCGGCUUGAGUCCAGGAGAGGAAAGCGGAAUUCCCAGUGUAGCGGUGAAAUGCAUUGAUAUUGGGAAGAACAUCUGUGGCGAAGGCGGCUUUCUGGUCUGUUACUGACGCUGAGAUACGAAAGCCUGGGGAGCGAACGGGAUUAGAUACCCCGGUAGUCCUGGCUGUAAACGAUGGGCACUAGGUGCAGGAGGUAUCGAUCCCCUCUGUGCCGUAGCUAACGCAUUAAGUGCCCCGCCUGGGGAGUACGGUCGCAAGGCUG